CUCCCCCCACUUCUUCCUCCCCCCUUUGCACUACCAUUUUUCUGCAUCAAGCUUCAAGCCCUCUUCCUUUAAGCCGGACACUUUGUCGGCAGCGGUGUGAGGGUGUGCAGCUCGCCGGAAAACUGGAUUGUUGAAGGAGAAGGGGCUGCCGUCACGAUUUCCGGCCAGCUAGCAGCGUUUUGGAGGAAUUGAAGACGCCAGCCUGCUCGCCGUCCUCCGUAGGAUGUUUUGGAAGCAUUUCCCGCCGUAA
rnacentral:lncRNA from 1 species